rnacentral:lncRNA from 1 species
UCAAUGCUUCAGCUGCAACAAACAUCUUUUUUACCUCUUCACCAACAACAUCAACAACAAUCUUAUGACACCUGUGUUGUCCUUCUAGUCGGCUACAAUGACCAGUUAAUCUAGAAACCACACUGACAGUCUCUCUACUAUCUUCUAAUGGGGGAGAGGUGUGUCCCACCAGGCGUUCCACAUUGUUGUCGCUAUGUGGGCUGGUCGGGGAGGCAACAACUGUAAUAGGAUUGCAUUUGCAUAUA